CCCCGGUGUCAAGCCCCCCAGGUUUAACCUUUCUGGUUUGUUUUUGUUCACGUCGCGCGCACACGGUUUUGUAAUCAUGGUUAUAUUCCUGGAUCUUGUCAGAAAUGUAGCCAGACCAGAAGACAGUGUGAAUAAUUCCAGCAUCUCUGCCGGAACCUGCGCGUGCUGGCAGAAAUAUACAGGUUCCAGCAGAUAAACCAGCCCUGGACGGCAGUCCCCCACCAGCUGGUUCCAGCUCAGACCCGACAAGGCUCGCCCUGAAGCCAUCUCAUAAAGGAAACAUGAACAACCCUGCAUCACAGCCAGCAGAGUCCAGUUUCUCCGUCAGCUCCAGUUUGACAUGAAUUCAGCUUUCUGCCGGCUCGGCUCUCCUCUGCAGGCCACACCUGUGAGGAGUUCCUGUAGGACCGUAAACAGCUGAGGGCGACCCCACCUCCUCCAGGCCCCCUUCCUGCUCUUCUAUCUGCCCAUAACCACAGACGAGACAGAGGUAACAGCUGAGAUAUUAAAGCUUUUCAGGGGUUUCUGUAAAGUUUUGAGGGAUGUAAACAGUGAAUGUGAACCGAUGAUCCUAAACAUGCAGGAAACAGAAUGAAAAAUUCCAGAUCAAAUUCAAACUAUAAAAUCUUUUUAUUAUUUAGGAAACUUGUGUCAGUUUUCAGGACUGGGUGGAGGUCUUCAUCCACGUCUGGUUUCUUCUUUAGCUUCCAAGCAGCCAGACUUUUUGUAAGGGUUUCUUGAACUUUAGUUCUCCAGGUUUUCUAAUUCUACAGAUUCAUGUCUUUGCAUUAGCAUGUUCAUUUUGUGUUAAUGUGAUUUUAUACUGCUGUAAAAUGAAUUAACACAGAGUAAUCCUGUGUCAAGAAGUCUCUGUCUAACAGGAACCCGACAAACAGCAGACGUGACUCAGAUUUGAUUUUUAUUUGCCGUUUCUGACAGCUUACAGUUCAGUCUUUCAGUUGAUCUGGUAAAUCAUCUCGCUUACAAAGUGGAAUGAAAAUAAAUACACAUAAAAAAUAAAAACCAAAGCUUCCAAAUGUGGAAGAACAUGAUCAAGAA